UCCGUAGGCGGGCAGCUCAGUCAGUGGUGAAAGUUUGCAGCUCAACUGUAAAAUUGCCAUUGAUACUGGUUGUCUUGAAUUAAUGUCAAGUGGUUAGAAUAUGUAGUGUAGCGGUGAAAUGCAUAGAUAUUACAUGGAAUACCAAUUGCGAAGGCAGAUCACUAACAUUAUAUUGACGCUGAUGGACGAAAGCGUGGGGAGCGAACAGGAUUAGAUACCCUGGUAGUCC
rnacentral:rRNA from 1 species